rnacentral:rRNA from 1 species
GAACGCUGGCGGCGUGCUUAACACAUGCAAGUCGAACGGAGUGCCCAUGACAGAGGUUUCGGCCAAUAGAUUGGGUUACUUAGUGGCGGACUGGUGAGUAACGCGUGAGGAACCUGCCUUUCAGAGGGGGACAACAGUUGGAAACGACUGCUAAUACCGCAUGACACAUCGAGGGGGCAUCCCCUUGAUGUCAAAGAUUUUAUCGCUGAAAGAUGGCCUCGCGUCUGAUUAGCUUGUUGGCGGGUAACGGCCCACCAAGGCGACGAUCAGUAGGGGUUCUGAGAGGAAGGUCCCCCACAUUGGAACUGAGACACGGUCCAAACUCCUACGGGAGGCAGCAGUGAGGAAUAUUGGUCAAUGGGCGAGAGCCUGAACCAGCCAAGUAGCGUGCAGGAUGACGGCCCUAUGGGUUGUAAACUGCUUUUAUAAGGGAAUAAAGUGAGCCUCGUGAGGCUUUUUGCAUGUACCUUAUGAAUAAGGACCGGCUAAUUCCGUG